rnacentral:rRNA from 1 species
AAAGAAAAUAACAAUGAUUCCCUCAGUAACGGCGAGCGAAGAGGGAUAAGCUCAAAUUUUAAAUCUGUUGGGUUCCGCUUAACAGAGUUGUAUUUUGAAGAGACGUUUUCUGCAUCCAGGAUUAGCCUAAAUCCUUUGGGAUAAGGUAUCAUGGAGGGUGAGAAUCCCGCUCAUGGUUAAUCUUAAGGAAGCUCUACGAUACGUUUUCCAAGAGUCGAGUUGUUUGGGAUUGCAGCUCAAAAUGGGAGGUAAAUUUCUCCUAAGGCUAAAUAUUGGCGAGAGACCGAUAGCGAACAAGUACCGUGAGGGAAAGAUGAAAAGAACUUUGAAAAGAGAGUUAAACAGUACGUGAAAUUGUUGAAAGGGAAACGAUUGAAGUCAGUCAUACCAACGGGAAAUCAACCUUUUGAGCUUGGUCUCGUGGGUUUUGAAGAGUUUCAAAGCCUUCGGAUUCGCGGGACUGGGAUCUCUCGGUGUACUUUCUCGUACGGUUAGUCAACAUCGGUUUUGAAUGUCAUAAAAUGACUGGAGGAACGUAGCUUCGAUCUCGUAUUGAAGUGUUAUAGCCUUUGGUAGAUGUGAUGUUUGAGACCGAGGAUUGCAACGGAUACCCUUCAGGGCUAUUCGUCUGAUCUCUGAUACGUUGCCCUGAUGUUGAAAGCUUGCUUAUGAUGUUAGGGUAUUACGGUCAAAAGGUUAGAACGAAUUACAUUCGUUAAGGAUGUUG